rnacentral:rRNA from 2 species
GGCUCAGAUUGAACGCUGGCGGCAGGCCUAACACAUGCAAGUCGAGCGGAUGAGAGGAGCUUGCUCCUGGAUUCAGCGGCGGACGGGUGAGUAAUGCCUAGGAAUCUGCCUGGUAGUGGGGGACAACGUUUCGAAAGGAACGCUAAUACCGCAUACGUCCUACGGGAGAAAGCAGGGGACCUUCGGGCCUUGCGCUAUCAGAUGAGCCUAGGUCGGAUUAGCUAGUUGGUGAGGUAAUGGCUCACCAAGGCGACGAUCCGUAACUGGUCUGAGAGGAUGAUCAGUCACACUGGAACUGAGACACGGUCCAGACUCCUACGGGAGGCAGCAGUGGGGAAUAUUGGACAAUGGGCGAAAGCCUGAUCCAGCCAUGCCGCGUGUGUGAAGAAGGUCUUCGGAUUGUAAAGCACUUUAAGUUGGGAGGAAGGGCAGUAAAUUAAUACUUUGCUGUUU